UCCAGACUGAAAGUGGAAAUGCUGCGCCGCUUCAAGAGCCAAGCAGCAACUUUUCAGGGGGGAGUACAUCUUAGUUACUUUGUGUUUGUGUCCGCUUCCUCACCAACUCACUGGGUGUGCAUGGACUAACACUCAUUUGUGUACUGAAAUGUAUGAUGAGAUUGUAAAUAAUUUUUGAACUGUAUGCUGUUUUGAUUGUACUUUUUUGUUUUUCUGCUUUCAAUCAUUUAAAGCGCAUUGAAUUGUGUAUGAAAUGCGCUCUAUAAAUACAUUUUGCUUUGAAUGAGCAAUUUCUCGUAUUGAUCAACACAAAAACUGAAUACUUGUAUUUUCUUCAGGGUGAAGCCCAGCAAUUGUACACAACCGGCACGCCGUUCCAAGCUGAACAGCGUCUUCUCCCUUGAGGCAAGUGUCCUUUAACUACUUGAAUUAAACUUGUAAUAAUGUUAAAGUGGCACUAUAUGUACAAAAAUACACAACAGAGUAAGACUUAAAUUCAGUGAAAGGCACUUUUUCAAAACAAUGUACAGGAAGGUUUUCUCAAGCAGGCAACACUUUUUGUACUUUGGGGGUCUUGUUUGUCUGGCUCCCCCCCCAAAAUUCAUGUUAUACUUUGUGGUUUUUAUUCUCAAUCUCACUCUUCAUGUGGAAGUGUUCAAUCUUAUUUUCUUUUUAACAUUAUGUAUUGUACUUUUAAUUUUUGGUUUGUCUUACAAAGGUCACUGUUAGGGUCUUUUUUACUUUAUUUAUAUAUUUUUUCCCUCCCUCUACAUCUGUGUUGUUGCGGGGCAGAGGUCGAGCUGGAUCGGGUAAUAUUGACAAAAUCACAAAAUGGAGUUUCCAGCUCACAACUAAUGCGAAGCAAAUGUAUUCGUAUCGUGCAGGGGUGUCAAACUCAUUUUUGUUGCGUGCCACAUUGUUGUUCUGGCUUCCCGCGGAGCGCCGUUAUGACUGUGAACCUAUCGAAAACAUUGUCUCAUAAUGACAAUGAUGGGUAAAAUGUUCACUGUUAUUUCAAAAAGGUGAUUGUAACAUAAAAUGCUUGCAAUAUCUCAUCGUUAUAAAAGUAACGACACCAAGUCACGUGAAGUCGACACGCGUGCUUUGCUUUUGCGGGCCAGAUCUGGCCCCCGGGCCACCAGUUUGGCACCUUUUGAUAUAGUGCAGUUCAUACACAACUCAACGUGCUUUACAUAAGUUUAAAAACAAAAAAAGCUUCACAUUUAAAACAGAGAGAGGGAGAAAAAAAGGUACAAUUAAAAUGGAGUGCAGUGCAAGAAAUAUUAAAAAAAAAAAAAAAAAGUCCUCCAAGCUUCUCCAGCUCAGCGUCUUAUCUGCCAGUGGAUUUAAAGCUUUCUGACCAGGCGGGUGAGGCUGGUGGAGGCCACCUCAUCAGCACUGGGGCGCCCCAAGGUUGUGUCCUCUCGCCACUGCUCUUCUCCCUCUCCACGAACGACUGCAUCUCAACGCACCCGGACGUCAAACUCCUGAAGUUUGCAGAAGACACCGCAGUCAUCGGCCUCUUCAAAGACCGUGAAGAGUCUGCAUAGCGACGGGAAGCGGAGCUGCGGUGCGGCCGACACAACCUGGAGCUGAACACGCUCAAGACUGUGGAGAUGAUCGUGGACUUAAUGAGGGAUCCUUCACCACAGCUGCCUUGUCACCCGUCGAGACCUUCAAGUUCCUGGGAAUUACAGUCUCUCAGGACCUGAAGUGGGUGAUCAACAUCAACUCCGUCCUCAAAAAGGCCCAGCAGCGGAUGUGCUUCUGAGGAACCACGGCUUGCCGCAGGAGCUGUUGAGGCAGUUCUACACACGAUUCAGUCCUGUGUUCUUCCAUCACAGUCUGGUUUGGUGUAGCUACAAAAAAGGACCAACUCCGACUGCAACGGACAAUCAAAACUGCUGAAAGGGUUGUCGGUACCCCCCGACCCGCCCUUGAGGACUUGCACGCUGCCAGAACUAAGACACGAGCGUGCCAAAACCUCUCGGACCCUCCACAUCCUGGUCACCGGCUCUUCCAGCUCCUUCCCUCAGGUUGGAAGAGGAGCCUGCCAGAUGGGAUGAGGGCAAAGGGACCCUUCCACAAUCAAGCAGCCCAAAAGUUAAUUCUUAUUCAUUGUCCUCUUCCCUACUUGCUGUGGUGCAGGAUGGGACGAGGGGCAUCGAGAUCCACCGGACGAGGGUUUAGAGAUGAACUGAGGGUAACCGACACGCAAGCCAGUGGAACAAGCGACUGACUGACAGCUGUAGGAGGCUUGUUUUUGUUGUUGGAGGAGGAGGAGGAGAUAUUUGGGACAGGAGGCAACAAGCAGAACCAGAACGAGGUAGUAAGUGCAAAUGCGCAAAAAAUAAAGGAGACCUGCUCCAGAGUCAUGGUGUUGAUGUGCUGGUUCUGUAGAGUGGAAGGGGAGCCGGAUGAAAGAGAAGGUAAUGAAACGCAAUCAAAAAGAAAAUCAAAUGUCACACUUUUUUUCUUUUGCACAGCUCAGAAGGUGCCGGAAUGGGAGGAGGGAAAAGGAACCAUUCCACACAUCAAAUUAAGACUCAAUGGGCACAAGAGUUGUCUGCAUAUAAUCUGUCUGCGGGUGCAUGUAAAUGGUGAACGUGGGGGGGCAGAGUACUGAGCUUUGCGGUUUGCCUGUGGCUACGGAAGGGUAGCGUGGCGGUAGGUCCGAUUGUAAUGAGGGCAGGCGUGGAAAGUGUCGGUAGAGUUGACGGUUGGACGCGGUGGUUUGGUUCAGUGUUUUUUUGCGAAGGAAGGUCGAGACGGUCCGCAGGUUGUUUGGCUCGGCUCGGAGCAGAGCGGCUCUCGGUUUGGAGUGGACGUGUACAGUGCAGGCUUGGAAUGAGGAAUUUCUCGUAUUGACCAACACAAAACUGAAGACUUGUGUUUUAUUAAGCGUGAAGACCAACAACCGGCACGCCGUUCCAAGCUGAACAGCUUCGUCUCCC